UACAGAGGGUGCAAGCGUUAAUCGGAAUUACUGGGCGUAAAGCGUGCGUAGACGGUUAUGUAAGUCAGGUGUGAAAGCCCCGGGCUCAACCUGGGAAUUGCAUUUGAGACUGCAUAGCUAGGGUACGGAAGAGGGAAGUGGAAUUUCCGGUGUAGCGGUGAAAUGCGUAGAUAUCGGAAGGAACACCAGUGGCGAAAGCGACUUCCUGGUCGAAUACUGACGUUCAUGUGCGAAAGCGUGGGGAGCAAACAG
rnacentral:rRNA from 1 species